UACAGAGGUGGCAAGCGUUGUUCGGAAUUACUGGGCGUAAAGGGCGCGUAGGCGGCCAUCUAAGUCAGACGUGAAAUCCCCCGGCUUAACCUGGGAACUGCGUCUGAUACUGGGAGGCUUGAAUCCGGGAGAGGGAUGCGGAAUUCCAGGUGUAGCGGUGAAAUGCGUAGAUAUCUGGAGGAACACCGGUGGCGAAGGCGGCUUCCUGGACCGACACUGACGCUGAGGCGCGAAAGCGUGGGGAGCAAACAGG
rnacentral:rRNA from 1 species